AUGCUCGAGUCAGCAGCAUACAUCCUACAACUGGAACAACACAGAGAAGAUAAACAUGCCUCCCAUGCAGGGGUGACACACAAGCUGUCCACACUCUUU
ensembl:snRNA U6 U6 spliceosomal RNA